GAGGUUGUGGCUCGGAGGUAGAGCGCUCUCUUAGCACAAGUGAGGCACUGGGUUCGAUCCUCAGCACCACA
rnacentral:tRNA from 1 species